rnacentral:lncRNA from 1 species
UCGUGCGAGCGCAGUUUGACUUGAGCAAUCGUGGGUUUGGACUCCGUGACAUUUGCUUUCGUCAUAUGCGAGUUAGGGGCUUGCCGACAGGUAAACCGCCGCUGUACUUAGAUGCAAAAGCUGCCUCCCUUAUCUGGAACAGAAUAAAUUCCUUUCGAAGGCAAAAUAAAAAACAGAAAGAGAAGUCA